ACGAGACUGGGUGCUUCGGCGCCCGACCUCCAACCCUUUGUCCACCUUACCACUGUUGCCUCGGCGCACGCGGGAGCGAUCCUGCAGCGCCGGUGGCCAAAAACACUAAACCCUUUUGAACCCAGUUUUCUGAGAAAUUAUUUAAUAACUUCA
rnacentral:misc_RNA from 1 species